UGAGGAAUCUUCUGCAAUGGGCGAAAGCCUGACAGAGCAAUACCGCGUGAGGGAUGAAGGCCUGCGGGUUGUAAACCUCUUUUCUCAAGGAAGAAGAACUGACGUUACUUGAGGAAUAAGCAUCGGCUAACCACGUGCCAGCAGCCGCGGUAAUACAUGGGAUGCGAGUGUUAUCCGGAAUUAUUGGGCGUAGAGCGUCUGCAGGUUGAAAUUUAAGUUUUUUGUUAAAUCUUUAGGCUCAACCUGAAAACUGCAAAAAAAACUAUUUUUCUAGAGUUUGAGAGAGGUUAAGGGAAUUCCCAGUGGAGCGGUGAAAUGUGUAGAUAUUGGGAGGAACACCAAUGGCGAAGGCACUUAACUGGAACAAAACUGACACUCAGAGACGAAAGCUAGGGGAUCAAAUCAG
rnacentral:rRNA from 1 species